rnacentral:rRNA from 1 species
CGAAUCAUUCACAAUGGGCGAAAGCCUGAUGGUGCGACGCCGCGUGAGGGAUGAAGGUCUUCGGAUUGUAAACCUCUGUCACUGGGGAGAAAACGCUUCAAUUUAACAGACUGAAGCCUGAUUUAACCCGGAGAGGAAGCAGUGGCUAACUCUGUGCCAGCAGCCGCGGUAAUACGUAGGUGGCAAGCGUUGUCCGGAUUUACUGGGCGUAAAGAGCGCGCAGGCGGUCGAUUUAGUCGCGUGUGAAAGCCCCCGGCUCAACUGGGGAGGGUCACGCGAUACUGAUCGACUCGAAGGCAGGAGAGGGUAGUGGAAUUCCCGGUGUAGUGGUGAAAUGCGUAGAUAUCGGGAGGAACACCAGUGGCGAAGGCGACUACCUGGCCUGUUCUUGACGCUGAGGCGCGAAAGCUAGGGGAGCAAAC